UCCCUGGUGGCCUAGUGGUUAAGGAUUCAGCAUUGUCACUGCUGUGGCACAGGCUCAAUCCCUGGCCUGGGAG
rnacentral:tRNA from 1 species